rnacentral:lncRNA from 1 species
ACUCUUGGGAUAAAGGUCCCCUGCCUGUUGCUAUUCUGGGAUAGAAACCAUAUCACAGAUUCAGCCGCUAUAAAUGUAGAAAAACCCUGAACAAAUAUGACUUCCUGACUUCCACAUGAACUCAGAGGGGAUGUUCAUUUAGUGAUGCUCUAAGAAAAGGAGCAUUCGGAGGCUGGAGAGAUGGCUCAACAGUUAAGAACGCCGACUGCUCAUCUGGAGGGCCUGAGUUCAAAUCCCAGUACCCACAUGGUGGCUCACAACCGUCAGUAAUGAGAUCUGAUGCUUUCUUCUGGUGUGUCUGGAGACAGCUAUAGUGUACUUACAUAUAAUAAUAAAUAAAUGUAAAAAAAGAAAGAAAGAAAAAGAGCAUUCACCCACUCCAUAUCUAAUCAAGCAAAGGAGAGGGGGCUGUUUACCUUGCUGACAUUGUGGAGAGCCUCCAUGCGUCAUAGGCCCAGGCUCCCAUAAUCCCUGGCUGGAAGGGUUGAGAAGGCUCUUGCUUUCCUUCUAGUCCCUCCUUACUUUAAAAGCAGAGCUUGAUUUGGGGAGAAAGUGUGCCGAGGCACAUCUGGUAUAUAUGCUUUUCUCCUGUCUUUGUCUAUUUUUGACCAUAUUAAAAAUAGGUUUUCAGCCUCCUCUAUUCUGAGAUUAUCUGUGCUUCAUCUGUGUAUCUUAGCAUACAGGAAGUAAAAUAGUCGAUUGAACUGAAAAGCGAAUGUGAUAUUUAAAGGAAAGGCCACACUUCCUUACUUCUGGGAAAGUUUUUUUUUUUCUUCUUCUUCUUCUUCUUCCAUUACCCAGAUGGUAGUCAUAAAACUCAGGCCAUCAUUUCCUUAGAACACGAAUCUUGUUUGUUUCUCUGCACAGAUACAGUGUGGCGCUGUGGGCAUUCUCAAAUAUACACACUGAGCUGUGUGUUGAAACUGAAGCAUAGGUCACUGUCCCUAACAUAUACUCCUGAAUGGAAGCCGAAAUUCUUUUCUACAAUAAGCAAAUGUUUCUGCAUAUGAAGUGGCUACAUUUUGAUCCUCAUUAUUAUCUUGCCAGAGCACUACUUCCUCCCUUUGCUUCCCUCUUAGCUGGGGUUGGAGGAGGGGAUGGGGGCAGGGGGAGGGUUGAGGGCAUCAGCCUGGCUCACAUUCCUCUCAGGUGUUAAUUCCAGGGUUGAGCACAUUUGCCAGGUCACAUUUAGGGUGAGCAGGAAUUGGCCCUUUCCUGGGGCCUCUUUCUUAUGUUUCAAAGUCAGCUCCCUAGCUAAAGCAAGUCGAACUGGAUCAUGGGAUUUGAGGAUUAAACCAACUGGAUGCCACAUGGGACUUACUUUUUUUUUUUUCCUAGUGUUUCUUGAUUACAGCAGUCAUCUGUUCAGAUUUACCUAGAUUUUAUACACAGAGUAUCCAUUAACUGUGUAAAUGCACGCUAGGUAAAUAAAUCCCACAAUCCCCAUGGUUUCCGGAUCACAGAUGUAACCCUUGCUAAAUCUGAGCGAGGGCUGUGUGCAUCGGGAUAGCCUGAGUGCCUACUCUGUGCUGUGAUAUGAGCUAGAGCAUUGGAAAAUUACAAAAGUGGAUCUUCAUUCUUGAUACCAUUGCUUUUUAAGCAAGCAGAAUUGGGAGAACUAGCAAUUAUAAGCACAGGAAACUUGGUUAUGCUUGAAUUUUCAGCUAAGCGGAGAACAAGUCUUUAAAUCUAUACCUCAGGCAAAACGUGGAUUGUUCUUACACAAAAAAUAUUAGUUACUCAUUUGAAGUCAAAUGGAACUGGGUGUCCUUUGUUUUACCUGGCAUCUUUUCGGUAUGACCUUGAAGCACCUGGUUUACUUGUGGUAAAAUGAUCUUUCUCAGUUACCUAGAUAUUUUGGGUAUUGUUUUAGGAUUCUCUGGAGUCACAGAACGUAUGGAAUGUCCCUAUAUAUUAACAUAAUUUAUUGUAAUGACUUAACAACCUGCAGUCCAACUAACCCCACAAUGGGCACCUGUGAAAGGAACGUCCGAGAAUCUAGUAGUUGCUUAGUCCCACGAAGCUAAUUGUUUUGGCUGGUCUUCUGUAUCCUAAAGAAGUGGGUUCCAACAGAUGUGCCAGCAAGUAAGUGCAAGCAGGAGAAGAAGAGCCAGUCUUCCUUCUUCCAAUGUCCUUAUGUCGGCCUCCAGCAGAAGGGGUGGCCCAGAUGAAAGGUGUGUAUUACAGCUAGAUCUGGGAUUUGAUUUGUCCCAGGCUGACCUUGACCUCAAAGAUUUGUUUGUCUCACUCUCCUGGUUACGGCUAAAGGCAUGCUUGAAUUGAAUACCUUGCCUGGGAGCCACUCUCCCUCAAGAUCUUCAUGUCAAGAUCCAGGUAAGGAACUUGUGUGUUCCAGGUUCAAGAUCUGGAUCACAAGUGUGCCCUCCAUUUCUGGAUUGUAGUUCAUUCUAGAUGUAGUCAGCUUGACAACCAGGAAUAGCCAUCACAGGCAUGCUAUUAGACAUUCACACAAAGUCAGCAAGUUACAUUUCAGUGUCUUCCUUUAAGAGUACAACUGAGAAGAAAGAAAACUUGCAGGAGUCUUCUAACCAAAAGAUCUAGAAAAAGAAGUCCUGUUAUGUUAUGUGGAUUGGUCUUGAGUAAUUUAAAUGAAUAUUGGCUACUCUUGCAUAUAAAUUGAAAUUGUUUAGGGUAAAAGUCCACACUUCCUGGUCUUUGUAUGAUUUGAAAGCAGUCAUUGGCACCUGAACUUGAACUCUGUCCUCCUCCCUGGAUGUUACUGGGCUGUAGGGUCUGUCACGGUUCAUCCUUUGUUUGAUUCACUCAAAGCAUUUCGCUUGAAUGUAUUU